GACGAACGCUGGCGGCGUGCCUAAUACAUGCAAGUUGAGCGAUGAAGAUUGGUGCUUGCACCAAUUUGAAGAGCAGCGAACGGGUGAGUAACGCGUGGGGAAUCUGCCUUUGAGCGGGGGACAACAUUUGGAAACGAAUGCUAAUACCGCAUAACAACUUUAAACAUAAGUUUUAAGUUUGAAAGAUGCAAUUGCAUCACUCAAAGAUGAUCCCGCGUUGUAUUAGCUAGUUGGUGAGGUAAAGGCUCACCAAGGCGAUGAUACAUAGCCGACCUGAGAGGGUGAUCGGCCACAUUGGGACUGAGACACGGCCCAAACUCCUACGGGAGGCAGCAGUAGGGAAUCUUCGGCAAUGGACGAAAGUCUGACCGAGCAACGCCGCGUGAGUGAAGAAGGUUGUCGGAUCGUAAAACUCUGUUGGUAGAGAAGAACGUUGGUAAGAGUGGAAAGCUCAUCAAGUGACGGUAACUACCCAGAAAGGGACGGCUAACUACGUG
rnacentral:rRNA from 1 species